GCAAAUCGUUCGUCUGACUUGGGU
rnacentral:ncRNA from 2 species